rnacentral:rRNA from 1 species
GAUGAACGCUGGCGGCGUGCCUAAUACAUGCAAGUCGAGCGAACAGACGAGGAGCUUGCUCCUCUGACGUUAGCGGCGGACGGGUGAGUAACACGUGGAUAACCUACCUAUAAGACUGGGAUAACUUCGGGAAACCGGAGCUAAUACCGGAUAAUAUAUUGAACCGCAUGGUUCAAUAGUGAAAGACGGUUUUGCUGUCACUUAUAGAUGGAUCCGCGCCGCAUUAGCUAGUUGGUAAGGUAACGGCUUACCAAGGCAACGAUGCGUAGCCGACCUGAGAGGGUGAUCGGCCACACUGGAACUGAGACACGGUCCAGACUCCUACGGAAGGCAGCAGUAGGGAAUCUUCCGCAAUGGGCGAAAGCUUGACGGAGCAACGCCGCGUGAGUGAUGAAGGUCUUCGGAUCGUAAAACUCUGUUAUUAGGGAAGAACAAAUGUGUAAGUAACUAUGCACGUCUUGACGGUACCUAAUCAGAAAGCCACGGCUAACUACGU